UACGUAGGGUGCAAGCGUUGUCCGGAAUUAUUGAGCGUAAAGAGCUCGUAGGCGGUCUGUCGCGUCGGCUGUGAAAACUCGAGGCUCAACCUCGGGCCUGCAGUCGAUACGGGCAGACUAGAGUUCGGUAGGGGAGACUGGAAUUCCUGGUGUAGCGGUGAAAUGCGCAGAUAUCAGGAGGAACACCGGUGGCGAAGGCGGGUCUCUGGGCCGAAACUGACGCUGAGGAGCGAAAGCGUGGGGAGCGAACAGG
rnacentral:rRNA from 1 species